rnacentral:rRNA from 1 species
AGUGAACGCUGGCGGUAGGCCUAACACAUGCAAGUCGAACGGCAGCACCGUACGAGCUUGCUCUUACGGGUGGCGAGUGGCGGACGUGUGAGGAGUACAUCGGAAUCUACUUUUUCGUGGGGGAUAACGUAGGGAAACUUACGCUAAUACCGCAUACGACCUACGGUUGAAAGCAGUGGAUCUUCGGACCUUGCGCGAUUGAAUGCGCCGAUGUCGGAUUAGCUAGUUGGCGGGUUAAUUGCCCACCUAGUCGACGAUCGGUAGCUGGUCUGAGUGGAUGGUAAGCCACACUGGAGCUGGGACACGGUCAAGGCGACUACGGGACGCAGCAGUGGGGAAUAUUGGACAAUGGGCGCAAGCAUGAUCCAGCCAGACCGCGUGGGUGGAGAAGGCCUUCGGGUUGUAAAGCCCGUUUGUUGGGAAAGAAAAGCAGCAGGUUAAUACCCCGCUGUUGUGACGGUACCCAAAGAAUAAGCACCGGCUAACUUCGUG